rnacentral:snoRNA from 14 species
AUGCAGGUACAGUUACACUAAAACUGAAGUGUUCUAUCAUCAUUCCCCCUGCUUAAAGCAUUACUACCUCUGCCUAGCUCUACCAUAGUAAGGCAGAGAUGCUUGGCUUCAAACAC